UUCCGGUUGAUCCCGCCGGACCUGACUGCUAUCGGAUUGAUACUAAGCCAUGCAAGUCUUUGUAGUAAUACAAGGCGUACGGCUCAGUAACGCGUAGUCAACCUACCCUAUGGAUGGGGAUAAUCUCGGGAAACUGAGCAUAAUACCCAAUAGAUCAUCAAUUCUGGAAUGGUUGAUGAUUCAAAUGAUUUUUCGCCAUAGGAUGGGACUGCGGCCUAUCAGCUUGUUGGUGAGGUAAUGGCCCACCAAGGCAAUUACAGGUACGGGCUCUGAGAGGAGAAGCCCGGAGAUGGGUACUGAGACAAGGACCCAGGCCCUAUGGGGCGCAGCAGGCGAGAAAACUUUGCAAUGUGCGAAAGCACGACAAGGUUAAUCCGAGUGAUUUCUGCUAAAGGAAUCUUUUACCAGUUCUAAAAAUACUGGCGAAUAAGGGGUGGGCAAGUUCUGGUGUCAGCCGCCGCGGUAAAACCAGCACCUCAAGUGGUCAGGAGGAUUAUUGGGCCUAAAGCAUCCGUAGCCGGCUCUGUAAGUUUUCGGUUAAAUCUAUAUGCUCAACGUAUAGGCUGCCGAAAAUACUGCACAGCUAGGGAAUGGGAGAGAUAGACGGUACUCGGUAGGAAGGGGUAAAAUCCUUUGAUCUAUCGAUGACCACCUGUGGCGAAGGCGGUCUACCAGAACAUGUUCGACGGUGAGGGAUGAAAGCUGGGGGAGCAAACCGGAUUAGAUACCCGGGUAGUCCCAGCUGUAAACGAUGCAGACUCGAUAAUGCAUUGGCACAUAGCCAGUGCAGUGUCGCAGGGAAGCCGUUAAGUCUGCCGCCUGGGAAGUACGUACGCAAGUAUGAAACUUAAAGGAAUUGGCGGGGGAGCACCACAAGGGGUGAAGCCUGCGGUUCAAUUGGAGUCAACGCCGGA
rnacentral:rRNA from 1 species